rnacentral:rRNA from 1 species
AUGCAAAACAGAGUUUGGACGGCUGAUAGGUUUCAGAGAAGAGGAUGGCCAAAUUGUGACAAAUGCCCACUUUGCAGUCAGGUGCAAGAAUUUGCAGCACACCUAAUCUUCAAGUGUCGUUUCUCUGUCUGGAUUUGGAACGCGGUCUUCUCAUGGCUUGGGUGUGUUAUCCCCACGGCCCCGUGGCUCCUGUUCGAUUCGGUGAAAUCUUGGUGGGAUGCGGUCCUUUCUAAUAACACACUCCCGAUGAAGGCCCUGUCUUCCCUGUUACUACUUGUGGGAUGGGAGAUUUGGAAUGAAAGGAAUGCUCGUGUCUUGAGGAGCAAAGCGGUGCCGGUGGCGACAGUUAUGCGACGCAUCAAAGAGGAAGUUUGUAGUUGGGCCACUGCAGGCGCUUGA